rnacentral:lncRNA from 1 species
AGAGAUCAUGAUCCAAAGACUUUCUCCCAUUUUAGUGUGUCAAAAUUCCCUAAGACCUCAGUGGGACUCCGUGCAAUGCUCACACCCCAAUGCAUUACCAGAAUAGGGAUAAGGGCAGUUUUGAAGGCCUGCCCUCAAGUGUCUAUUUUCAGAGGGAGCUCAAAGGAUCCCAAGGCAAGGCUCAGAAGAGGAAAGCAGAACUUAAAGACUAAGAGAGAGUGCAAGUGCAGAAACAGAAUUCUAAAAGGGGAAAGGAGAAGGAAACAACUACAACUAAGUAUACAAAGGGGUUCAAGGGGAUAGAGAGAUUGUAAAGAGCCUAUUGCUUAGGCAAGGGCAGGGUUUAGGCAUGCCCAGCAAUGGAGAGUGCUAGCAUACUUAAAAGCCUUCUAGAACACAUUCAUAAAGGAUAAGAUCCCUAGGGGAUCAAAUUUUAUUCAUGGACAAUAAUUUGAAGUAUUGCCAUGCCUAAAACCAUAGCGUAAACACAUAGGGUGUAGAGGUUUGGGAUACAUAAUAUAACAGGCAGAGAGAAAUCUGUAUGCUAGAGUAAGUGUUGAACUAUAUAGAAGUAGUAAGCAGACAGAAAUAUCAAAAGCAAUAAAUAAACACAUUGUUAUGGCACUAAAAACCUUAAAUUAGGAUAUACCAGUUUCAAAGAAAAAAAUAGAGAAAAGCAGGUAGUAGGUCCUGUAAACAGGCCACAAUACAAGCAACAAGAGAGAAUACUUUUGAGUGUAAGUGUAAGUGUAAGUUCAUAAUGACUACGAAUGAUGGUGUGUGUUUGUGUCGAUGAAGAGCAGGUAUUUAUAUUGUGAAAAAUAGGUGAAAAGAAGGUAAGAAAAUAAUUAAGGAACUGGGUAUCAAUUAAAAUCAGUCAGCAUAAGACUUCCUUUAAUUAAAGAAUUCAUAAUUAAGCGGUAAAAUUUAUUUAAGGAAAGAAAUCAAAUAAGCACCUUGUGCAAAGUAGGCCAUUAGGGGUAAAUACAUAGGAGUUUAUUUAGGUGAAGAGUUUUGAAAUACACGAUUAGAAAAAAUAACGUAAGAAUCAAUUAGUACACAGUAAAUCAAGGGGUUAAAGGUUGAAACUACUGGCUCGUGAAUAAGCUAAGGAAAGUUUUUGAUUCAAACCAAGUACCAGGGAAAUCAGGAAACGAGGAAAGAAAUUAAUUAGACUUACACAAAGGAAGUCCGAUAUUAAUCAAAAUUUAAAGACCCCCUAGACGGAAGUUCAGCACAUAUAAAGAGCACAUAAGCGUUUGGCUUACGAGGCUAAAUUUAGAACAAAGAAAAAGUGUCAUGUAAUUUCAAAAUUAGUAAGUAGUAGACAAUAGGAAUAUGAUAGUCACGUGGUACUUCAACAAUGGAGAAGAGAGAGAGAGAGAGAGAGAGAGAGAGAGAGAGAGAGAGAGAGAGAGAGAGAG